rnacentral:tRNA from 1 species
GGUCGAUUGGUGAAGUGGAAUCACGUCUGUCUCACAUUUUUUCUGUCUGAUCACAGAAGACCCCGGGAUCGAAACCCGGAUCGACCU